rnacentral:misc_RNA from 1 species
ACUUGGAUUGCUUCACAUGGAGUGCAGCCAAAGCACUUGUGUUCACAGCUUGGUGGACUUGACCCAAUUUUGCUCAACCCUUUAGCAUAUGCUUCUUCUCCCAUGCUUUUAAUAUCUUGUUUAGAGACCAUCUGGGAACCUAAGUUUGAGCCCAAAAUAACUUGUGAAGACUCUGGACUCUCUCCUGAUGGGGACCUUGUUGGGUCUGGUUUU